AUGAGUGUGCGAGCACCACCGCCGCCGACCAUGCCGGAGUCCGACUGGGCGAUCAGGCGGAUCCGCAAGGAACUGAAGCUGCUCUGGCUCGACCCCCCGGCGUUCUGUCGGCCCGGCCCGGCGCCCGUGACGGAUCUGUUCCACUGGGAGGUGGUCAUCGACGGGCCCGACGGCAGCCCCUACGCCGGCGGCACGUUCCCCGUCGACGUCGCGAUCCCCAAGAAGUACCCCAUGAAGCCCAUCAAGCUCACCUUCAAAACCAAGGUGUACCAUCCCAACAUCGGGCCGGAGGGGAGGAUGGCCCUGGACAUCUUCGGGGAGUGGUGGAGCCCAGCGAUCACGAUUAGCACGGCCCUCCUGUCCGUCGUCUCCGUCCUCUACGACCCCCUGCUUGACCUCCCCGUCCGCCGCGACGCCGCCCUGCAGUACAGGGACCAGCGGGGUCUCUUCGAGCAGAAGGCCAGGCGCUGGACCCGCAGAUACGCCUCGGCGCCGGUCGCCUCCUUCUGCGCGGCAGCGGCAGGGAAGGAGGUGCUGGAGGAGGCGGCGACUAGUGGGGCGGUGGCAUGUCGUCGUUCUUGUGGAGCGGGGAAAUGGCGUUUCUUCGGGGCUCGUCUCCUUGCCAUCUAG
rnacentral:rRNA from 1 species